CACUACUGUUAACACUCUUCUACCCAAGCUCAAUCCAAGUCCAGGACCCCCAACCUAUCCGUCUGUCUUUUGCUUUGCUAAAAGAUGCACACACAUGUGCACAGGCACACACACACACACACACACACACACACACACACACACACACACACACACACACCUUUUGUGUGUCUCUAAUCUCUGGAGACCCACCAGGACGACGGCAACGCCACCACCACAGUGUGUCAUGCAGGGUAUGAGAGUUGAUUCCGUCAAACACUAUGCAGGGAAACAUACACACACACGCACACAUUCACUCACACACACACACCGUGGAUUAAGCUACUGCAGGUCUGUACCACCGCCAACCCUAACCCCACCCCCCCCUCCCGCCUUCGCUCCUGGCCGGCUAUUAACCUCAACCUACCUACCUUGUUUCGUUGUUCCUCUCUCUCUCACGAUCACUGUGACUACAAGCCGUGCUGUAAUGACCAGGGCGGGCUCCACCAGAGGGACUCGAUUUGCUCAGUAUUGUUUCAUUGUGUGCCUCACAAAGGGUUUACGUUCCCGGGUGUACAACAUGCACGCUGCGCCGCCCAGCUUCGAUCUGAUUGGCUGUUCCGUUUUCUUUGGGAGAAUAUGGUCGUGGAGCUCUUGGGCUUGGGGCUAGCCUCGAAGCUAACGCAUCAAAGCUAUUUGUAAAUCGAUCCAUAAUCCGUCUCAUUUGGUUUGACGCCCGCAAGGUACUUUUUAUGUUUGUUAAAAGUAUAAAAAAAAACGUCAACGAAAAUCAACGACACGGUUAAGCCAAAUCUGAGGAUUCUAGUUAACCUUUCUUACACCAACCGAGUUUUAUACGAAAAAACAUUUUCUAUUUCCUCCUCUUUCGGUUGUCUUUUUUAUCGUCCCUUUUUCCAGCACAUUUCGGGUUCCCUUCCAGAAGAGGAGAUCAGAUCGGGGCGGGCUGCGCAGCUUCUCCGGGUGUCUCUCUCUCACAGACAAACACAGCCACUUAUUGACUCCUCCUCUUUCUUCUUCUACUUCUACUAAGACUAGAAUAAUCGCACCAGCACCUCCGAGCGCACUGCCUUCAAAGCCAUGAUCAGACGCACCAGCAAAAACGAGGGACAGACGAAUCUCAGUGGCCAUCCGCAUGCAGAAGCCAUUAAAUCAAGUCAUCGUGGGGUGGUGGUUGGUGGUACACAACACAACACAACAGAGGAAAAAAUAACAAUAAUCGUGGGAUCACACAACCCGAAAUCAGUUUGUAUUGCUCCUUAUUGUUUUUGCUACAGGGGAGAAUCAAAACAGGAGCAGUGAGACACAUCACACAUGUGAUCCGCUCGCAGUCCACUCGCUACUAUCAUGGACAGCCCCAUAUGGGGUUCCAGAUCCGACACAACAACUGAUCUCUGGCCAAGGCCACUGCAAUGUAAACAGUCCAGGCGCGCGGAUGAUGUUUUUUCAAAUGGACGUCGGGACUCUACAGCCAUACGGAGAAAACUAAACCGAAAAUAUGUGGGGUUGUGUCGUUGAAAGGUCACCCUCGGUGCAUCGUUGGCUACCCCACUCCACCCCCCCCCCGAAGCCCCCGCUGGCUCGCAUCGCAACUAUUCAAACGUUCAUCAUCUCUUUGGUGUUCACUGUUGAUUAUAUUUAGUGAUAUGCAAAUGACACUCUGUUACUGAAAUGACGAUGGGGGGGCUAUAGUGAAUGGCUGAAAUGACGACGCAAAGGCAAGGCAUAGGAAUACGUCACUGCAAUUCAACCAUGUCAAGUCAAAUGCGACCAAACCCAGAGUUGUCUGAAUAAAAUCAAUGUCAAUCCUC
ensembl:lncRNA